rnacentral:lncRNA from 1 species
CCGGCGUCAACUUCAACAACAGGAAUUUGUAUGGACCAAAUCUAACCCUCACCGAUUUCCUAACCGGUUUGAAAGAUAUCGCAUUUUUCCAUGCAAAUUCCAAUAACUUCACUGGCUCCAUCCCCGAAGAUAUCGGCACACUCCGCUACUUAUACGAGCUCGACCUCAGUAACAACAAAUUCUCCGGCAACUUCCCCUACCAAGUCCUCCGUGCCAAGAAGUUAGUAUUCCUCGACCUCAGGUUCAACACCUUUUCCGGCGUAGUACAUCCAGAUGUCUUCCUUCUCGACCUCGACUUGCUAUUCAUCAACAACAACAAUUUCAAGCAAACACUCCCAGAAUGCCUUGGCUCAACCACUGCGCUUUAUUUAACCCUAGCUAACAACUACUUCGUUGGUGGAAUCCCUAAGAGCAUUGGUCGAGCUGCCAACACCCUACUGGAGGUUCUUUUCUUGAACAACACGCUAACCGGUUGUUUGCCGUAUGAGAUCGGACUUUUGAAGAAAUCCACAGUGUUCGACGUCGGAUUCAACGAUCUAACAGGCCCAAUCCCGCACUCGUUUCAGUGCUUAGAGAAAAUGGAGCUUCUGAACUUGGCUCACAAUAAGUUCUACAACGAGGUGCCGGAGGCGGUGUGCAAUCUUCCGAACUUAUCGAAUUUCACUGUAUCGUAUAAUUAUUUCACUCAGGUUGGGCCCAAGUGUCGGGAACUGAUCAAGAAAGGUGUUCUUGAUGUGAAGAUGAACUGCAUUUUGGAUCUUCCGAAUCAAAGAUCACCGACAGAUUGUGCUCGUUUCUUUUCGAAUCUUCCUUCUUGCCCUGAUAAAAAAUCUCUCACAUAUAUACCUUGCUCCAAAGAGUUUUCUGGUAAUGAUCAGUUGGAGGCGUCCAACGUUCAAUGGGCUACUCCGUCGCCGGCACCGGCUCCUCUGUGGCGAAGUUAUGGUGCUCUUUCGCCACAUUAAUCAUUGUGUGAUGUGUAUAAUUAGAUUUAAAUUCGUGAAAGUGACCGAAUAUUGUUAUUUCUUAUUUCAUAAAUAAAAAUAAUUGGCAAUGCUCAUCAAGUUUGAGAAAUUUUGCUGAUUAGUGUUGUGUAAACUAUUAAUAUUAUUUGUGAUCAUAUGUUGAAUUAUAUAUNNNNNNNNNNNNNNNNNNNNNNNNNNNNNNNNNNNNNNNNNNNNUAUGAGUAGUAUCAAAUGAGAACACGGUUGAGAACGCGAGAACAGAUCUGGACCAUCUAAUUUUUAAGAUGUGUGGCUAUAAUUAAUUGUUAUUUUUUUAAUUAUUAAUACACUUAAAUUUUAAUUUUUAAAAUAAAGAAAAUUAAAAAGGGUAUUAAGGUAAAUAAACAUUACCCUAAUUUUGUAAACCCCUAUAAUUACUCUUGCCUCUCUAUUUGGUUGCCCUAAUUUCCUACGGCAUACAAUCAACACCUCAAAGGCGUCACUUGACGGGAUCGGAGAAAACAAAGAAUCGAAAGCAGCAAGAUCGAUAAAAGACGUAGGAAGGAAGUGAAGGCAAUCGGCGAAGUAUGUGGUCGGCCGUCGUGAUGGCGAGGGGAGCAUCUACAGGGUCAACGAGGCUGAAGAGGAGGAAAGGAGUUCCCCUUUUCAUCUUAUGAUCACAAUUCUGUUAAAACCAUGUCAAUCGAUCAUCACAGUCAUACUCUGUAUCUUGACAUCAUUCAUAGCAAUUGUAACUGGUUCUGAUCCCAAUUCAAUUAUCGGCGUGGGAAUCAACUGGGGUACCAUGACCAGCCACCAGUUGUCGGCUGAUAAGGUGGUGGAAAUAAUGAGAGAGAAUGGGUUCAAGAAGGUGAAGCUCUUUGAAGCAGAAAAAGGGAUCAUGGAAGCGCUAAUUAGAUGAAAGAUUGAGGUGAUGGUAGCAAUCCCUAAUUUCAUGCUGUUGAGUCAAGAUCCAAGCUACACUGAUUAUUGGGUUGAUGCUAAUAUUACUACUUAUGCUUAUCCUGGUGGUGUUGAUAUCAAGUAAGCAACAACAAUUUUGUGGUUUCUCCUAUUGAAAUAAUUCCAAUUUCGUGUUGAAACACCUUCAAUUUCAUGAUUACAGUUCGUUUUUUCGCACUCUAGUUCUUCCUNCAACAACAAUUUUGUGGUUUCUCCUGUUGAAAUAAUUCCAAUUUCGUGUUGAACACCUUCAAUUUCAUGAUUACAGUUCGUUUUUUCACGCUCUAGUUCUUCCUGACUGUUUGCUGGUGUAAAUGUUUAGUUUUUUCAUUCGAGGGUAAGUUCGUAAUUACACGUUGAUUCUUUCGUUAAUUUCAGGUAUGUUGCAGUCGGAAACAAGUCAUUCCUCAAAGCAUACAAUACUACGUAUGUCCAAAUCACAUUACCGGCGUUAAAAAAUGUCCAAAAUGCCCUUACCCGGGCUGGUUUCGGGAACCUAAUCGGUUUUUACAUUGCAAUAUCUACAAAAAACUAAUCGUUUUUUUUUAACUUAGAACCAGUUUCUGGUCAUGCUUUGAAAUAAUAUCAGGUGAUAUGGAAAUGCCCCACUGUGAUUUUCUUUGAAUUUGAAUGAUUUUGAAGUAUUCUAUUUUAUGAUUAAUCAUUUUCUUGUCACUUCUUCUCAGUUGUUUCUUAAUUGAUAUAAAGAUUUAGGGGAAUCAAACAAUUUUAGAACCAAAAGUAAUUUAUACUAUGAUAUCAAUUUAUGAUUAGAAGUUUAUUCAUUUUUNNNNNNNNNNNNNNNNNNNNNNNNNNNNNNNNNNNNNNNNNNNNNNNNNNNNNNNNNNNNNNNNNNNNNNNNNNNNNNNNNNNNNNNNNNNNNNNNNNNNNNNNNNNNNNNNNNNNNNNNNNNNNNNUAUGAGUAGUAUCAAAUGAGAACACGGUUGAGAACGCGAGAACAGAUCUGGACCAUCUAAUUUUUAAGAUGUGUGGCUAUAAUUAAUUGUUAUUUUUUUAAUUAUUAAUACACUUAAAUUUUAAUUUUUAAAAUAAAGAAAAUUAAAAAGGGUAUUAAGGUAAAUAAACAUUACCCUAAUUUUGUAAACCCCUAUAAUUACUCUUGCCUCUCUAUUUGGUUGCCCUAAUUUCCUACGGCAUACAAUCAACACCUCAAAGGCGUCACUUGACGGGAUCGGAGAAAACAAAGAAUCGAAAGCAGCAAGAUCGAUAAAAGACGUAGGAAGGAAGUGAAGGCAAUCGGCGAAGUAUGUGGUCGGCCGUCGUGAUGGCGAGGGGAGCAUCUACAGGGUCAACGAGGCUGAAGAGGAGGAAAGGAGUUCCCCUUUUCAUCUUAUGAUCACAAUUCUGUUAAAACCAUGUCAAUCGAUCAUCACAGUCAUACUCUGUAUCUUGACAUCAUUCAUAGCAAUUGUAACUGGUUCUGAUCCCAAUUCAAUUAUCGGCGUGGGAAUCAACUGGGGUACCAUGACCAGCCACCAGUUGUCGGCUGAUAAGGUGGUGGAAAUAAUGAGAGAGAAUGGGUUCAAGAAGGUGAAGCUCUUUGAAGCAGAAAAAGGGAUCAUGGAAGCGCUAAUUAGAUGAAAGAUUGAGGUGAUGGUAGCAAUCCCUAAUUUCAUGCUGUUGAGUCAAGAUCCAAGCUACACUGAUUAUUGGGUUGAUGCUAAUAUUACUACUUAUGCUUAUCCUGGUGGUGUUGAUAUCAAGUAAGCAACAACAAUUUUGUGGUUUCUCCUAUUGAAAUAAUUCCAAUUUCGUGUUGAAACACCUUCAAUUUCAUGAUUACAGUUCGUUUUUUCGCACUCUAGUUCUUCCUGACUGUUUGCUGGUGUAAAUGUUUAGUUUUUUCAUUCGAGGGUAAGUUCGUAAUUUCACGUUGAUUCUUUCGUUAAUUUCGGGUAUGUUGCAGUCGGAAACGAGCCAUUCCUCAAAGCAUACAACGCUAUGUAUCUCCAAAUCACAUUACCGACGUUAAAAAAUGUCCAAAAUGCCCUUACCCAGGCUGGUUUCGGGAGCCUAAUCGGUUUUUACAUUGCAAUAUCUACAAAAAGCUAAUCGUUUUUUUUAACUUAGAACCAAUUUCUGGCCAUGCUUUGAAAUAAUAUCAGGUGAUAUGGAAAUGCCUGACUAUGAUUUUCUUUAAAUUUAAUGAUUUUGAAGUAUUCCAUUUUAUGAUUAAUCAUUUUCUUGUCACUUCUUCUCAGUUGUUUCUUAAUUGAUAUAAAGAUUUAGGGGAAUCAAACAAUUUUAGAACCAAAAGUAAUUUAUACUAUGAUAUCAAUUUAUGAUUAGAAGUUUAUUCAUUUUUAGUUAAUCAUAUAUAUAUUCAUGUAUGAAUAUAAUUACAAGUAUAGGAAUUCAUAUGUAUUUUUUUUGUUUAUGUCUCAUAUUAAUUUAUGAUUAGAUGUGUAUUUAUAUGUGAUAUAUUAAUGUAUGAAUAUAAUUACAAUUAUAGGAAUUCAUAUGUAAUUUUUAUUUUGUUCAUGUCUCUUCAUUUAUAAUUUGACAUCAUCUGUGUUUUUCUAAAUCUUUUUCAUUUAAUUGAUUGUUAAUUGUAUUUAUUUCUUUAUUCGACAGUGUGUAGAGGAAAUUGAGAUACAUCUACAAACGGGAUGUUGGAUUGCUAAUAUACAACCAAACAAUACAAAGUGGCAAAGAUAUCGUCUUAUUCAUUUGUGAUUAUAUAAUAAUUGUUAAUUGUUUUUAUUUAAAUUUUUGUUUAUGUUGUAUUCAUAUGUGAUUUUAGAAAACUAAAUAUGUAUUACAUUGUAACUUUUUGUGUUACUAUUAUUUAUGAAUAGAUGUAUUAUAUAUAUAUAGUGUUUUAUUUGUUUAUGUUUACAGUUGUAUUGUAAUUUUUUCAAUAUAAAUUGUGUUAUAUUUGUUUAUUAUUAUAACUUAAUUCAUCUAUUCAUUUAAGAUUACAACCAAAUUCAUAUAUAAUUACAUAUAUGUUUUAUUCUUAUAUGAUUACACAUAUUCGGAUUAAAUGAUNNNNNNNNNNNNNNNNNNNNNNNNNNNNNNNNNNNNNNNNNNNNNNNNNNNNNNNNNNNNNNNNNNNNNNNNNNNNNNNNNNNNNNNNNNNNNNNNNNNNNNNNNNNNNNNNNNNNNNNNNNNNNNNNNNNNNNNNNNNNNNNNNNNNNNNNNNNNNNNNNNNNNNNNNNNNNNNNNNNNNNNNNNNNNNNNNNNNNNNNNNNNNNNNNNNNNNNNNNNNNNNNNNNNNNNNNNNNNNNNNNNNNNNNNNNNNNNNNNNNNNNNNNNNNNNNNNNNNNNNNNNNNNNNNNNNNNNNNNNNNNNNNNNNNNNNNNNNNNNNNNNNNNNNNNNNNNNNNNNNNNNNNNNNNNNNNNNNNNNNNNNNNNNNNNNNNNNNNNNNNNNNNNNNNNNNNNNNNNNNNNNNNNNNNNNNNNNNNNNNNNNNNNNNNNNNNNNNNNNNNNNNNNNNNNNNNNNNNNNNNNNNNNNNNNNNNNNNNNNNNNNNNNNNNNNNNNNNNNNNNNNNNNNNNNNNNNNNNNNNNNNNNNNNNNNNNNNNNNNNNNNNNNNNNNNNNNNNNNNNNNNNNNNNNNNNNNNNNNNNNNNNNNNNNNNNNNNNNNNNNNNNNNNNNNNNNNNNNNNNNNNNNNNNNNNNNNNNNNNNNNNNNNNNNNNNNNNNNNNNNNNNNNNNNNNNNNNNNNNNNNNNNNNNNNNNNNNNNNNNNNNNNNNNNNNNNNNNNNNNNNNNNNNNNNNNNNNNNNNNNNNNNNNNNNNNNNNNNNNNNNNNNNNNNNNNNNNNNNNNNNNNNNNNNNNNNNNNNNNNNNNNNNNNNNNNNNNNNNNNNNNNNNNNNNNNNNNNNNNNNNNNNNNNNNNNNNNNNNNNNNNNNNNNNNNNNNNNNNNNNNNNNNNNNNNNNNNNNNNNNNNNNNNNNNNNNNNNNNNNNNNNNNNNNNNNNNNNNNNNNNNNNNNNNNNNNNNNNNNNNNNNNNNNNNNNNNNNNNNNNNNNNNNNNNNNNNNNNNNNNNNNNNNNNNNNNNNNNNNNNNNNNNNNNNNNNNNNNNNNNNNNNNNNNNNNNNNNNNNNUAUAUGGCCCGGUUCCUUUGAGGACUCAUUUUAAAGUUAGUACUCGUGAGGACACCCUAAAAAACUGAAAAAAGAAUCUAAAAAAAAUACAAAUUAUAAAUCGAGCAUAGAUCUAUGUCCACGAGAAAAAAAUUGGAUUUUUUUUUUUGCAUCAUUAAAGUUGAUCUAUGAUUCAAUUUUAAUUUUUUAUUUUGCAUCACUAUGAUCCAUGAUUCAAUUUCUUGGGUGCAUCUCAGAUAGCAAAGAGAACCAUAUAGGUUUGUGCUUUCAAGGAUGUACGAUUUAUCCUCGAAUCACAGAGGCUGCUAGACAAGGAAUUCAGUAGGUUAUAUAGUUUGCCAUAGGAAGCAUCAAUAGCCUUCAUUAAAAAAAAGGGAUGGACCACUCAAGGGAUACAUCAAACUUAGAAAGCUAGUUAAGAUCAUACUAAGGAUUCAUUUAUCUCAUGCCAAAGAAUUUUAGUAGUAAGAUCGAUGUCGAAGAAGAAAGUACUUUCGUCGUACGACCGUUUCAAGUCAUUGUUUGAUGUGCAUAUAGGUAAAAUAAGAGACACCUAGAAUGGGAUCAUUCGAUAUGGACUAUAUCCAUUAAUAGAGGUGGUAAUACCUUCCAAUGGCUGUAGAUGUAUCAUUAGUAUACAUAAUAGGAUUAGUAGAUCAAUUUAUAGAUCCAUGCUCGACCAUUUGGUCCUAAUGUUAUCGGUAGCAAUCAAAGUUAACUAAGAGUCCCUAGCAUAAAUUGGCAAGAGUUCAAUUUUAGGAGUGACUCAUUGUUAAAACUUACGUAAUCAGUAGUAGUUGUUGGAGAUUCAGCUAUGGAGACAACUCGUCAGUUAAGAUGUUGUUGUAGUAAUGUCAAUAAAAGAUUGACCUCCAAAGAAAAGAUCUAUGGAUUUGCUCUGGGAGUUAGGGUUGUAGUAAGACGAUAGGAUAUUGUCAUGGAGCUGUUCUAGCUUUUAAGAUGUAAGGUUUCGGUUGGUAACACAGAACACAAAGGGAUAGUAAGCAACUCGUGUAAAUUUCCUAGAUACAUUCAUUCAUUUAAGGGUCGCCUUAAAUAGAUCAUCAAGUGUAAAUAUGUAACGCCCGUGUUUCUGGGCUUGCCAUUUUUAGCAAUGUAAUAGUCUAGGUUAACCUUUGUAACCCAAUCUAAAAUAAUAAAAAUGUAUUAUUUGUGAAUUAUGUCAAUUAUGUGUGUGUUUUCUUAAUUAUUAUAACUUAAUUGAAUUAAGAAUAAAAAUAAGCAUCAAAAUGAAAUAUUAGAUAAAUUCGAUAUCUAUGGAUAAAGUUGUAGUGGCCGAAACGAGGUUUCCGAAUAUAUAUAUAUAUANNNNNNNNNNNNNNNNNNNNNNNNNNNNNNNNNNNNNNNNNNNNNNNNNNNNNNNNNNNNNNNNNNNNNNNNNNNNNNNNNNNNNNNNNNNNNNNNNNNNNNAGGUUUCCGAAUAUAUAUAUAAUGCCCAAAUCUGACUUUGUAUGAGGAAGUUAUGAUUUUCUGAAGUUUCGACUUGGCAGUAUGCAGCCCGAAUACUCGAUUUGAGAUCGAGCGGUUUUUAGCCGAAACAAUCUAAAUGAGAAUCGAAGAUCUCGUUGUUAGUAGCGAAACGAUGAAAAGUUAGGCGAGAACGGACGUCGGACGAAGAAGUUAUGAAUUUAUAACGAAGUUUUUCUGUCCCGGCCUUCUAAAAAUAAAUAAUAAAAAAAGUCAAAAUUAGCCGAUGGAGUCUAAAUGAAAGUUGUAGAGUAUGGUCUGACCUACGCGUGGAUAUAAAGAACGUCGAAAACGGAGCUCGUAUGCGAAAGUUACGCAAUUUAGAAGUUUGACGAGUCAAAUUACGCUCAGCGUAAUUUGAGUACGCUCAACGUACUCAAAGGGGUGCAACUUGUCUGACCAAUACUCGAGUGCCACCAAUUGACGCACGCAAUGACGUCAAAGUAUGCCCAACGUAACCUAAUUACGCCCAGCAUACUAAGUACACCCAGCGUAAUCCCAGACCCAGCAACCUAUAAAUAGAAAUCGAGAUCAGCCAUUUUCUCUUGUUCAAACUCUUUCUUCUCUCUAGUUUUUGCCUCGAUUUAUGUGCCAAUCAUAUCCCGAAGCCCUAGGAUUAUUCCCGAUCCCCAAAGCAAGAUCCGAAGUAUCGAGGAUCCCGAGAAGUGAGAUUUCCGAGCCGAAGCCCUGCCCGCGAGGAGCCCGGUUUUUGUGAAGAUCUUCCAGAUCUACGGAGAAACACUACUUCUGCAAGCCGUAGUGCUGCCCGAUCAUCUUCUGAUCAAGUGAGUGUGUAGUCAUUUUCUUCUAACACAUUAUUAUGAAGUAUUUUAUACGAAUAACGUGUUACGUGUAUACUUUGUUGAUUAUAUGUGUGAAUGUAUAUUCACUUUCUUCUAUCUCAUAGAUCUGAUUUAUUCUCUAUGAAAUACGUGUUAUGUGUGUAUGCCUCAUCUGUUAUGUGGAAAAAUGUAUUGAUCGAGCAUGCUAUACAUGUUUUAAACUUUGUAUAAAAAUGUAUAUUUUUAUCUACUAAUAUGUUGGGUAGAACAUGGGUAGAUAAUUGGUGUGUAAUAAACAGAUGAGAGGCCUCGAUGUUGUUGGUGUUAUUCUAGUCAUUCAGCAGAGUAUGGAUAACGACCACGGACUAUUCUAGACAGUUCUGUGGAACACUAGUAGGCUCAUAACCUGUAGGUGUUGUGGACGACGUGUUCACCGGUGUACUCUAUCCCCCUCAUGGUUGCCUUUAGGAUAUUUUUUGCUAAGGAAACCCCUUUGCAGUAAUGUCUGUCCCGAUGAAAAUCCUAAAUUAGGUCCCUUAUAAUAGAUGUUGUUUUAGGGACGUAAAGUGAGGAAAACGGGAAUGGGUAAUCGGGUUAUUGUUGAUUGUUGAAUUAAAUAUAAUCAUUUAUUGUGGGUUGAAAACCAUAUAUGCUCACCAGGCUCCCAAGCCUGACCCACUCAGUUUACUUGUAUUAAAGGAAGUGGCGCAAGGGCAUAAGAUGGAUGAAUCAUCAAGUUGUUUUGUUUACAAGUCUGCAUAUGUAUAUAUUGUUGAAUAACUUGUAAUGUUAUCGUUUAUACUUUAUGGUCUGUAUCGGAACAUGACAUCCCGAUUUGAUUAUGAAAUGAAAUUAUAUUUCCUUAUGAAAUGUUUUGAUAAAAGAUCUAUUUUAUCAUGUUUUGUUUUUGGGAACAAAUUCCGCAUCUCUUUUAAAUUAAAAGAAUUUGCUCUGAAAAUGUUUAAAAAGCAUAAAUGAAACCGGUAUUUCCUGGCCGAGAUUUUGGGGAUGUCACAGUUGGUAUCAGAGCAUUAGUUUAAGCGAACUAGGAAUUUGUAGGAUUUCUAGACUUAAACUUAGAAUGUUAAGUGAAGGUUGUUAGAUGUGUGUCUGUUGUAUUUCAGACACGAGCACUAGUUUAUUUUAGGAAGUUGCCUAAAAUGCUUUUAUGUGCUAAAUGUUAUAUGUUGCCAUAUAUGAUAUUAUUUGUUCAAAUUUAUGGUCUGUUGCCGACCGGAUCUGGAAACCUUAUGUGUGUAGGAUUCUAAGCGUAUGUCUACGUUAUUAGAACUAACAUGUAAUCGUUUCGGAGUGAUAAGGACGAUUUGAAUAUCUAUCGUGAAUGAGGAUCUAAUUUCACCUUAUUCGGUGUAUAGAUCAAAAAUGGUGAGAACAAGAAGCGGAGUUGGAAAUGCUGAUGAAAACAGGAAUCAACCAACAGUGAUUGAGCAAAUACCUGUCGUAGCAGCAGCACCUAAGCCGAUAAAAUGGCUGGUGUACAAAUGAUGAUUCAAACGAUGUUGGAUCGUCAGAUGGAAGAAACAAGACGUCUGCUUAGGCGGAAUCGUGAAGAAUCAUUAAUUCGAGUGGAAGAGCCCGAGGAGAAUAGAGGAUAGUCUGAAGGAGAAAACUUUAGUGGGAUCAUUGGUCAAGACGAACCCCCAGUGGUUAGACGCAACAACCAGUAUGGAGGAAAUGAUGGGCGUGGGUGCAAGUAUAAGGAUUUCAUGGCGUCCAAAACACCAUGUCUAUCCGGAAGCUCGACGUUGGUGCAAGUUAUGGACUGGAUCUCCGAAAUGGAGACAAUGUUUGAAAGUUGCAAGUGCAGCAACAGGCAAAAGACCGCUCUUGCGAUCCCUCUGCUAAAAUCUGGCGUGUUGAGUUGGUGGAAGCUAUUAGCUGACUCUAUGCCCAAGGGAGAAGCAAGCAAAAUGUCUUGGGAAGACUUUGUGGAACAACUAAAACUGCAAUACUGCUCCGAGCAGGAUCUUCUAGAAAUCAGUAAUGAGUUUCAGAAUUUGAAGAAGGGGAAAUUGAGCGUUACUGAAUACGCUGCAAGUUGCACAGAAAAGAUGAAGUUUAUCCCAUAUUUGAUACCAACAGAACUCUCUAAGGUCAACAAGUUUGCCCAUGGACUACCAGCGAACUACGGUCCAAUUGUUAAGCAAGCAAUCAUAUUGAAAGCCGCCAUCUGGGCUGCUAGAAAUGUUGAGACCCAGAUCAGGGAGAAAGGUCUGGAGAGGUCAGAGGUUGGUGAAAAGAGGAAACUCGAGGGAUCUUCAGGGUCCAGCAAGAAAAUUAAAUUCUCGAAAUUUGGUUCGAGAGGAAGUGGAGGAAAGGUAGAGGUGAAAUGGUGCGACAAAUGCAAGAAGAAGCAUCAUGGGAAGUGCGGUGGGGAAGCCACAUGCUUCAAAUGUGGAAAGUCAGGGCAUUAUGCCAACGACUGCACCCUCACCAAGAAUGUUUGCUAUGGUUGUGGUGAGGAAGGGCACAUCUCAAGAGAUUGUCCAAAGAAGAAGGAGGCAGCAAAACCCAGCAUUCCACCAAAGCCAAAGGCGAGAGCAAUCCAGAUGACACUGGAAGCUGCUAAAGAUGAAGCUGAUGUCGCUUCAGGUACCUUUCUCGUUAACAAAUUGCCUGCCCAAAUUUUAUUUGAUUCUGGAGCCAACUACUCCUUUAUAUCGCAUGAAUUUGGUAGAAAACUAGCUUUGCCUGUUGNNNNNNNNNNNNNNNNNNNNNNNNNNNNNNNNNNNNNNNNNNNNNNNNNNNNNNNNNNNNNNNNNNNNNNNNNNNNNNNNNNNNNNNNNNNNNNNNNNNNNNNNNNNNNNNNNNNNNNNNNNNNNNNNNNNNNNNNNNNNNNNNNNNNNNNNNNNNNNNNNNNNNNNNNNNNNNNNNNNNNNNNNNNNNNNNNNNNNNNNNNNNNNNNNNNNNNNNNNNNNNNNNNNNNNNNNNNNNNNNNNNNNNNNNNNNNNNNNNNNNNNNNNNNNNNNNNNNNNNNNNNNNNNNNNNNNNNNNNNNNNNNNNNNNNNNNNNNNNNNNNNNNNNNNNNNNNNNNNNNNNNNNNNNNNNNNNNNNNNNNNNNNNNNNNNNNNNNNNNNNNNNNNNNNNNNNNNNNNNNNNNNNNNNNNNNNNNNNNNNNNNNNNNNNNNNNNNNNNNNNNNNNNNNNNNNNNNNNNNNNNNNNNNNNNNNNNNNNNNNNNNNNNNNNNNNNNNNNNNNNNNNNNNNNNNNNNNNNNNNNNNNNNNNNNNNNNNNNNNNNNNNNNNNNNNNNNNNNNNNNNNNNNNNNNNNNNNNNNNNNNNNNNNNNNNNNNNNNNNNNNNNNNNNNNNNNNNNNNNNNNNNNNNNNNNNNNNNNNNNNNNNNNNNNNNNNNNNNNNNNNNNNNNNNNNNNNNNNNNNNNNNACUUAUGCUUGGAGUGAGAAGCAUAAAGAAGCAUUCGAGAAGUUAAAGAAGAAGCUAUGCGAGGCACCGAUACUUUCUCUACCCGAUGGAGUUGAAGACUUCGCUGUUUAUAGCGAUGCGUCUGGUGUUGGAUUGGGUUGUGUUUUGACCCAAAGAGAAAAGGUGAUAGCAUAUGCGUCUCGACAGCUGAAAGAGCAUGAAAAGAAUUACCCGACUCAUGAUUUGGAGUUGGCAGCGGUAGUUUUCGCUCUGAAAAUAUGGAGGCAUUACCUCUAUGGCACGAAGUGCAAACUUUUCACUGAUCAUAAGAGUCUCCAAUACCUCUUUAAUCAGAAAGAAUUGAAUAUGAGGCAACGACGCUGGCUAGAAUUACUUAAAGACUACGACUGUGAGAUACUUUACCACCCCGGUAAAGCAAAUGUUGUUGCUAAUGCUCUCAGUCGGAAAGUCAAUCUUGAAAGGAAAAGACCAAGAGCGUUGAGAAUAGAAGUUGUCUCGACAAUUGUGGAAAGUAUAAAGAAAGCUCAAGCGUAAGCUUCUGAGAAGAAUGACCGAAAGGAGGAACGUUUGGGUGAAACACUGGUGUUCGAUACAAACGGUCAUGGACUGAAGGUAUUCCAAGAUCGUAUUUGGGUACCCAAGUCAGGAGGAAUAAGAGAUCUUNUACAAACAAUCAUGGACUAAAGGUAUUCCAAGAUCGUAUUUGGGUACCUAAGUCAGGAGGAAUUAGGGAUAUUCUGAUGGGAGAAGCUCACAAAACCAUGUACUCAAUUGAUCCGGGUAGCACUAAAAUGUAUAGGGACCUGAAACCCUACUACUGGUGGCCGACGAUGAAGCUUGAUGUUGCAAAGUAUGUGGCCGAGUGUGUGACUUGUGCGAGAGUCAAGACACAACAUCAGAAACCGUACGGGAGUUUAGAACCAUUGCCUGUGCCUAUGGGUAAGUGGGAAGACAUUGCUAUGGAUUUUGUCACUAAACUGCCCAGAACAAAAAGUGGUCACGACAUGAUUUGGGUGGUCGUUGAUCGAUUCACUAAGAGUGUGCAUUUCAUAGCAGCCAAGGAGAAAUGGUCUAUGGAAAAGCUUGCAAAUUCUUACGUGAAGGAAAUUGUGAGGCUUCACGGUGUUCUGUUAACGAUUGUAUCGGAUCGUGACAUCCGUUUCACCUCGAGGUUUUGAAAAAGUCUACAAGCGGAAAUGGGUACUAAGUUGUGUUUAAGUACAGCUUACCAUCCACAGACUGAUGGUCAGAGCGAAAGAACGAUACAAACACUUGAAGAUAUGCUGAGAGCAUGUACCCUGGAAUUCCUAGGUAACUGGGAUGAACAUUUACCGUUGGUAUAAUUUUCCUACAAUAAUAGUUUCCACUCGAGCAUAAAGAUGGCACCUUAUCAAUCUUUGUACGGACAGAAGUGUCGUACGCUGUCUUGUUGGCUUGAGGCUGGGGAAAAGCAGUUUAUGGGACCCGAGAUGGUUUAUCAAACCGCUGAAAAGCAGAAAAUAAUCAGGGAAAGAAUGUUAGCCGCUCAGGAUCGUCAAAAGAGUUAUGCUGACAAAAAGCGAAGACCGAUGACUUUUGAAGUUGGAGAUUCGGUUUUGCUUAAAGUCUCGUCGUGGAAGGGACUUAUAAGAUUUGGUAAAAGGGGAAAACUAAGUCCAAGGUUUAUUGGACCGUUUAAAGUUCUUCAGAGAAUUGGGAACCAAGCUUACAAGCUCGAACUACCUGAAGAACUGAAUGAAAUUUAUAACACUUUUCAUGUGUGUUACUUGAGGAAGUUCACGGGAGAAGUUCCUGACAUGAUUCCACUUUCAAAGUGAAGAAUUGAUGAAAAUAAAAGGUUGAUUGAAGAACCAGAGGCAAUUGUCGACCGGAAGACUAAGAAAUUGCGACGUAAGAUGGUUGAGUUAGUUCUUGUCCGUUGGAAACACAUGAAUGGGCCGAAUCUCACCUAAGAGACGGAGAGUGACAUGAUGGGUCGCUAUCCGCAUUUGUUUGUUGAUGUGUGAUUCUGGGGACGAAAUCAUUCUAAGGUGGAGAGAAUUAUAACGCCCGUGUUUCUGUGCUUGCCAUUUUUAGCAAUGUAAUAGUCUAGGUUAACCUUUGUAACCCAAUAUGAAAUAAUAAAAAUGUAUUAUUUGUGAAUUAUGUGAAUUAUAUGUGUCUUUUCUUAAUUAUUAUAAUUUAAUUGAUUUAAGAAUAAAAAUAAGCGUCAAAAUGAAAUAUUAGAUAAAGUCGAUAUCUAUGGAUAAAGUUGUAGUGGCCGAAACGAGGUUUUCGAAUAUAUAUAUAGAACGCCCAAAUCUGACUUCGUAUGAGGAAGUUAUGAUUUUCUGAAGUUUCGACUUGGCUGUAUGCAGCCCGAAUACUCGAUUUGAGAUCGAGCGGUUUAUAGCCGAAACAAUCUAAACAAGAAUCGAAGAUCUCCUUGUUACUAGCGAAAUGAUGAAAGUUUAGGCGAGAACGGACGUCGGACGAAGAAGAUAUGAAUUUAUAAUGAAGUUUUUCUGUCCCGCCCUUCUAAAAAUAAAUAAUAAAAAUAAAAUCAAAAUUAGCCAAUGGAGUCUAAAUGAAAGUUGUAGAGUAUGGUCUAACCUACGCGUGGAUAUAAAGAACGUCGAAAACGGAGCUCGUAUGCGAAAGUUACGCAAUUUAGAAGUUUGACGAGUCAAAUUACGCUCAGAGUAAUUUGAGUACGUCCAACGUACUCAGAAGGGUGCAACUUGUCUGACCAGUACUCGAGUGCCACCAAUUGACGCACGCAGUGACGUCAAAGUACGCCCAGCAUAACCUAAUUACGCCCAGCAUACUAAGUACAACCAGCGUACCUGGAAAUUACGCCCAAUGUAAUCCCAGACCCAGCGGCCUAUAAAUAGAAACCGAGAUCAGCCAUUUUCUCUUGUUCAAACUCUUUCUUCUCUCUAUUUUUUGCCUCGAUUUUCUUGCCAAACAUAUCCCGAAGCCCCGGUAUUAUUCCCGAGCCCCGAAGCAAGAUCCAAAGUCCCGAGGAUCCCGAGAAGUAAGAUUUCCGAGCCGAAGCCCUGCCCGCGAGGAGCCCGGUUUUUGUGAAGAUCUUCCAGAUCUACGGAGAAACACUACUUCUGCAAGCCGUAGUGCUGCCCGAUCAUCUUCUGAUCAAGUGAGUGUGUAGUCAUUUUCUUCUAACACAUUAUUAUGAAGUAUUUUAUACGAAAUACGUGUUACGUGUAUACUUUGUUGAUUAUAUGUGUGAAUGUAUAUUCACUUUCUUCUAUCUCAUAGAUUUGAUUUAUUCUCUAUGAAAUACGUGUUAUGUGUGUAUGCCUCAUCUGUUAUGUGGAAAAAUGUAUUGAUCGAGCAUGCUAUACAGAUUUUAAACUUUGUAUAAAAAUGUAUAUUUUUAUCUACUAAUAUGUUGGGUAGAACACGGGUAGAUAACUGGUGUGUAAUAAACAGAUGAGAGGCCUCGAUGUUGUUGGUGUUAUUCUAGUCAUUCAGCGGAGUAUGGAUGACGACCACAGGCUAUUCUAGACAGUUAUGUGGAACACUAGCAGACUCAUAACAUGUAGGUGUUGUGGACGACGUGUUCACUGGUGUACUCUAUCCCCCUCAUGGUUGCCUUUAGGAUAUUUAUUGCUAAGGAAGCCCCUUUGCAGUAAUGUCCGUCGUGAUGAAAAUCCUAGAUUAGGUCCCUUAUAAUAGAUGUUGUUUUAGGGAUGUAAAGUGAGGAAAACAGGAAUGGGUAAUCGGGUUAUUGUUGAUUGUUGAAUUAAAUAUAAUUAUUUAUUGUGGGUUGAAAACCCUAUAUGCUCACCAGGCUCCCAAGCCUGACCCACUCGGUUUACUUGUAUUACAGGAAGUGGCGCAAGGGCAUAAGAUGGAUGAAUCAUCAAGUUGUUUUGUUUACAAGUCUGCAUAUGUAUAUAUUGUUGAAUGACUUGUAAUGUUAUCGUUUAUGCUUUAUGGUCUGUAUCGGAACUUGACAUCCCGAUUUGAUUAUGAAAUGAAAUUAUAUUUCUUUAUGAAAUGUUUUGAUAAAAGCUCUAUUUUAUCAUGUUUUGUGUUUGGGAACAAAUUCCGCAUCUCUUUUAAAUUAAAAGAAUUUACUCUGAAAAUGUUUAAAAAGCAUAAAUGAAACCGGUCUUUUCUGACCGAGAUUUUAGGGAUGUCAGAAAAUGUGUAUGCAACAUUAUCAUGUUAGGCUUCGGGAUAGAUUAUUUGCUUUCUUUAGCAUUUUCUAAUACGCAUGCGUAUGAGUUAACCUUGGCUUGUAUUCGAACUAGAACAUUCGUAAAUUAAUGUAGGACAUGAUAACUAGUCUUUGAAAUCCAUGCUACCAUGUAAUCAUCAGCUAGUGCAUCAUUGUAACCUAUGUCUUUGGUUUAGUUAUUCUAUUAUUUGAUAGGCAUGAGAGUUAAUAUAAAACUAGUAUCGAAUUAGAACAUUCAUAGGUUAACAUAAGAUGACAAUUAGACUUAAGUGCUCGUACCAUGAAGAUUAAGGACCUCAGAUUGGUUGUAGCCUACAAAAAAAUAAGUAGCAGAGAUAUGUUGUGAUUAAUAGACAUCUAGGAAAGAGGGUGAUUGGGUUCUUUCAGGACAGUGGGAGAAUGGUUGUGAGUAUUCAAUACCAUCGAAGGGUUGAUCGUGAGUCUUUAGGCUCGAUGGCGGCGAUGAUAAGAACGAUCUGGCAUCAUAAUCCCAGUAGUUGGAUAGUAUCACAGCAUGUCAUGAGCAGGAAUAGGAACAAAUUACUUGAACAAUAGUUGUACCUUGAUGCAGGUAAGGCAGUUAGAGCCUUGCAAGAAAGUUAUUGGUGACCUAGUGUUAAUUAUAAUCUGGUGCGUUAAAAGAGGAGCAAGCCUUAUGAUAAAUUUGUCACCAAUAUUAGAGUAUUGGUUCCAUAGUUUUCAAACCAGUUAACCCGUUACAGCAGCUUGGGUUAAGUUUCAUCAUGUUGGAACAUCUAAACUAGGUAGAGAAACCACUUGCAAUCUAGGUUCGUGUGUGGUUUAAGAGUGUACCAUCGAAAGAUGUCAUAAGAUACCGAUUUAGAACGAUAAACCAUAGUGCCUUUUGUAGAGGCAUAUUACGAAAAGUGAAUUCUGGUAGGAUGUCAUAGAUAAAUUUCCCCCAAUUAAUCACUUUAUAAUGAAUCGGUAGUGUUCCUAAUCAAAUGAGCAGAUCGACAUUUUUUGUUUGAAGGAGAUUGUCCGUUAUAGAGUAUAAAGUUUGCAAGUGUAGACCAAUGAAUUCCCGGUUUAGAAGACCUCGCGAAGAGUUCAAGAGUAUGUCCAAUUUAGAAAACAGAGUUCUAUGAGGAAUAUAAAUGCGAAAACGUUGGCUAGAUCACAAGUUGAUCUCAAUAACUCAAUAAGCUGACAUCUGGGUUAACUAGGAGUAGGAUUUCAGGGAUGAAAUCUUUCUAAGGGAGAGUUGUAAUACCCCAUUUUCACUCUUUAGUAGAAUUUAAUAUAACCAUUUGUUUAUAAAUUUCAAAGUAUAUAUAUAUUACCUUUUAGCCAAAAUAAUCAUCAUAAUUGUGUAGUAGAUGUGAAUACGAUUUUCGUAGAUAUAUAGAACACCUAAAUCUUACUUCGUAUGAAGAAGUUAUGAUUCUUCGAAGUUUCGUGUUCAGCCCUAUAUGACAAAGUGUGUUGUAAAAAGUGAAUCGAAGAUAGCUUUCUUAUUAGCCUAAGUAAUCUAAAUUAAAUUCAGAGUAAUCGCAAAAGCAAAAGUAUUGAUGAGAUUAAAAACUUAAUCUUGAAGAUCGAUUAGAUCUUAAACAGGUAAAUAAAUAUUAAAAAGCAAGAACGAACGCAAAAUAAAGAACAACUCAAGAAUGAAUCAAACGUGUCGAAUGAUUAUAAAAUAACCCUCAGAAGAGCUCGAUCAAGAACAUCAACUGUAUAGGGUUGGAGGUUUACAAGAACGAUAAAGAAAUCUGCAAAGCUAUCGUUAUUCUCUAAAGCGUUAACCUAAUAUGCAUGCAAGCAUAUCUUUAUAUAGUAAACCUAGCAAGCUCACGGUUGGACAGGACCAAACCGGAGCACAAAACAAAUGGACUAACAGCCGAGCCCAAUGACGCAAUACAUAAGCGAAUCUUCAACCCAACAAUCUCCCCCUUUGCGUCAAUUGGAGCAAGAUCUUCACUUGUUACUUGGGCCAGCAGCAGCACCAGGUACCUUCUUCUUGACAGUCUGAAACAGACGAGAGAUAAGAGCAAGUAUCGUCUGUCUGAAUCUGAUGUACCAUUGGAUCAUGUCGUUGAAGUACUUGACAUCGUCUGCUGCAUUCUCUUUACACCGACGGAUGAUCGACAAAACAUGCUCAAGACAAGCAUUGGUGUAAAGAUGUUUAUCCGCCAAAGCAAAGAGACAUUUCUGUCCUUCUGCUCUAGUGAACAUGACCGAAUUACGUCUCAGGUCGAUCUUGCCCAUCUUCAUUUGAUUGAGAUCACUAGCCGAUCCCAUAGGAGCUAUCUUCAGUUUCUUCUUGAAGACUGUGGCAAUCUCCUGAUCCAUUAAGGCUACCUCCAUGAUGUAACAAACAAUCAUCCUCUUGAGAUGGUCUAUAAUUGGACCAUAUUCAGCUUCAUUCGUCAAAAGGAUGUUGUGCAAAACGAUCCAAUCAUGAGGGUUUAGGUUCGGUAGAUCUGCCAGGGAUAUAAGAUGUUCGGUUCUAGCAGACCCUCUAAUCACCCUGAACCGAAAGUUGAUGAAUCUCCCUUCGGUAUAAGGCUUUAAGACCCGAACAUUAACGAUCUUCUGAGCGCUCCAUGUUUGGUACUGCGGUUGAGCGGCCUUCAUAUAGAACUCGAUAAGCUCCCUAUCGACCUCAGGAUUCGGAUGAGGGAAUUCAUAAAUGUUGGAGAAGGCGUGGAAGAUGAACGCCUUUCGACUCAACGGCAUAUCGAACUGCGAAUCGACAGAAUUAUUGCAGUCGAAGGAUAUCAUCGGUUCGAGCCAUAGGAUGCUAGGAGUAUCUAUGGCCUCCUUAAUCAUUCUCUCCCGAGUCCAAGCAGGGAAAAGAGUCUUCCUGCUCUCGAGGAGAUCGUGGGCUUCUUUCUUCUUGCGUUCGGCUUCUUCAGCUUCGCGCGCCACACGAACAUUAUCAUUUUCCACAUUGCGACUGUUUUUGCGUUUAAGGAAGUCAGCAAUGGUUUCCUUAUCAUCUUCAUCUUCUUCCUCAGCUAUGUUCUUUCCUUUAUCCUUCACACCCGAACCCGAAGUUUGACCAGUCGGAGGUGGUUCGGUUGUGUGAGCAGCUGUUGAGGAAGGAGGUGGUUUCGAUCCGGACUUCCCUUCUCCCCCUUGUUUCGGAUUGGACACGAAACUAGGUAAGCCUUCGAUUUUGCUGAGAAGGUCCAUGGCAGGAGUAAGUUUUUCAGCAAGGGUUCGCCUCACCAAAUGAUUAAGAAUCGGAUCGUGUGCUUCCAGGAUGUUGGAUAGGGCAGCGUGUACAUCCGAAACACAUGUUUUUAUAACCUCCCGUUCGGAUCGAAGAGCUUCAAUCUGUUGCUGAUAGUUUGAAAGCUGAUUGCUCUUGACCUUAAGGGCGGUGGUUUUGCUUGCCAAAACGUCCAUUAAUGAGUUUUCGGCAGCGAGAUCUUUUUGCAGUUUAGCGAGGCGCUCAUCAAUGGAGGCACGAAGGGCCGAGUUGUCGUCGCUUAUGGAUUGGCGAAGGUUAGCGAACGACUGUAACUCCGUCGAGACGAACGUGGCCAAUUGUUGAACGAUUGGUUCCAAUGUUGUCUUUGUUGCGUUAGCGCUCUCCUGUAAGGACUUCAACAGGGAAGAGGCGUUAGUGAAUAGUUUAUUGACUUUUGCGGUCGCAGCCUCACAUGCUUUUGUGGAGGCGUCUAUGGCGGCAGUGGCUGAAGCGACAGAAUCAUGCUGAGCCCUGGAAAAGGCAUCAACAAUCUUCUGAAGAGCGGAUUCAGAAAGAGAGGACUGAGUGUUGGUGGAUGACGCAAGAAGCAAAUCAACUUUCUCGUUUAGCUCCUUUAGAUGCUUCUUUGUUACUGGAGCAUCGUCCUCAUCGUCACUUUGAACCUGAAACGGACUAAAGUAGACCGAAUCGUAGGUCAUAUUUUCCCCUCCAAGGAAAGGAUUAUCUCCAUCAGAGGCAUGAUCUAGAGAUGUUGGGGGUGGUGAAGUUGGGGGUGUGGUGGUUUGUGUAGGUUCAGGUUGAGUGGAGGUUGGGGUAGUUUCGGUUGGUUGUUGAGUAUGGGUAGGUUCGGUUGUAUGCUGGGUUUCGGUUUGAGGAGGUUCGGUUACAGGUGGAGUUUCGGUUGCAUCGGUAUGAACCCCCGUAUCAGAUACAUUGGUUGUAACCUUUGCAGUUGUUGUAGUGGUAUCUGUGAAAAUGGGUGGUGGUAUAGUGAAAGAGGUUUUAGGGAUGGUGGUAGCGGGCUUUAUGGUGGGAAUGGAAGUAAGGAUGGUUUGAGGAGGUGAAGGAACUGGUGAGACAUGAAUUUCCAUGUCUGGGGUAGGUGAUCGGGGUGGGGUGUUGCCUCUGGGAGGGGUUUCGCCUUCUGAGUCACUUGAAGAAGAAGCGAUGACAAGCUUUCGCUUCGGUUGAGUCUUCCUUCUCUUCGGUUGUGGGGACUGUGCAGGUUUGGUUUGUUUCCUCUUCCUGGGAGAAGGACCUUUAGCAGGUUUGGUCACUUGCUUCCCUUUUUCCGCCUUUUUGCCCCUAACAGGUUUGUCAGCAUCGUGGAUGGAUUUGAGCAUUUCCUGUGUGAGUUGCCUAGGUCCAGAUGCCUUGAACUCCUUGACAGUCCGAAUGAUUCUGCUGUCAGACGGAACAUCGCCGUACAUUGUCUCCGGAAUAGAGCCAAUGAAAGAAAACUUGGAUGCAUCAGAGACGAUGAUCUUCGUGGUAUGAAAAGUACCGAUCGAAGACAUCGAUGCACCAGCAGCAGUGGGAAUAUCAAAUUUAGCCAUCGCCCAUUUGGUAAUGAGAAUCCAGAACCGGGCAUACGACACCUCAGAAUGUCGUGAUGAAGAAGAGAGGCUCUGGAUGAGCUGUUGCCAGAGAACAGACCCAUAGUCAAGAUUGACUCCGUUGUAAACGUCAUACAUAAUCGACAAGAACAGUCGACUAGAACCAUCGGAUCCUGAGCUCCGUUCAGAUAAGCCCUUGAAGAGGACUGUAAACAUGUCGUUCCACUGUGGCGGCAAGCAGGAUUUCUUGAACUUCGCGACGGAGGUGAGCGCCUCCGUGUACCCCAUGUUAUAAUACAUGUUGUAAAGAUGCCCAAUCGGAAUCGUCUCCGGAUUAAUUCUAGAUGGGUCAGCAGCCAACCCUAGCAGUGUACCAAAACGUUGUCGAGAAAUGGAGGUCUUGUGAUCAGCAACCUCGAAGAACACCCGCUCGACUGCUUUGUCGUAGUGUGCAGUCGCAUACACCUGUGAUAGAAUCUCCAUGGGCACCGACUCAACCCUAGAAAGAGCUGGAGCGAUUGGUGAGUACUUCAGGCACUCGAUGAUCGGCGACAUAUAAGAAUCGUACGCCAGAGGGUUUACGUCAAUCACCAAACACUGGUGAGGGCGAAUGGGAAAGAUGUGUGAGGUGGCAUGGACUGAAGAUGAUUCUGCCAUUGUUGAAGGUAGGAAGAAGAAGAUGAACAGUAAAGCUUUUGGGAGUUUUUGCUCUCUUGGAAAUUCGGAUGCAGUAAAGAGGUAAAUGGGAGUGGAGACUACCUUUUAUAGUGGUUGAAAGGAGAGAGAAAAAUCGUUUCAAAUCCUCUAUGGAAAUACGAAAAGGUUUUCCGGAAUGACAGAUGUGUGAUAGUUAAGGCAUGCGAUGAUCACGUAGGAGAGAGAGUGUCAGAUUCCUAGGAACACGCCGCCCAACAAGCGCCGUUUCAGAACAAACCGUUUCAAAUCCACACGCGCCUUUAAGUGCCAGAAAGGAGCCGCUUGAAAUUCGCACACGCGUCUAUGAUGUCAGUAAAAGAAUGGGCGUUUCAAAUUCACACGCGUGCCCUUUUUAACCGUCGUUUGAAAUUUAAUCCUUUGAUCUCCCGCCUGAGUCAGCAACCCUUUAUCUUAUCUUCGAAAUGGCAUCUUUUGAAUUAAUUGCCCACGUGGAUGAUUUUUGACCACAGCUUGAUAAUUAACCACCAAAGCAAUAAUACAGCCUGUAAUUAUUAGUAACGGAAUUUUGAAAAAUCAAAGAUUUUCGUGCUAGGAGUGUAAAAAAGAAAAGAAAUAAAGCAACUCUUUUUAGGAAUAAAUGUGAUGUCAUUAAAUGACACGAAACAAAUGAUCCCGGGCACGAAUCUCUUCCUUCAAGAUCAAGAAAGACCUUAAAGUGUUUAUGUGGUUUCCCGUUGAAUGACAAUCAAACAUUUAUUAAGAAAUGUUGAAAGGCUUCUUUUAAUUAGGCUACUUAAGGGUGGCUUUCGCUUUGAUUCAACAAUUCUAAUCUUGACAUAAGAAAGAAAGUGAACAAAGUACUUGUGAGACCGGUGUAGUCUGUUGAACAAGUAGGNUAAUUUUAAAGUGGCAUGAUAAAUAUAAAAUCUCAAAAAAAAAUUAAAAAUUGGAUCCCAAGGGAAGAAAUGUUAUGGUGUUUAACAAUUUCAUAGGUAUCACACAAAAUAAAAAUUUGAGAUUUCAGUUAGAUACAUCCGUCAAUUCUAUGGUGAAAACCUGAGCAAUUUAAUUGUUCACCGUCAAUUCAGAUUUGGUGUUGAAUUUUGGGUUUCACUCAGUUCGUAGUGGCACGAAACUGAGAUCAUAAACACAGUUGUUGUGUAACCAUAAACCUCAGUGGUAAUUUCUGAGAGUCCAAAGUGUUACGUUGAUGAAAUGAAUUUAAUGGAGAAAUGUAAUGGAGAUGGUGUAAGAAAUUGAAGUACCUCUGCUGCGAAAAUAAGGACCAAGCAGAAAACUCUUAUCUUAUGUGAGAAGAGAGUGAGGUAGCUCACGAUUAGAAUAAAUUUGAUAGCCGAAUUGGGAAGACAAGGUUUGUUUAUACCAAGUCAUGAAGGAUAUUAUUCAGAAUCUUAUGAGGCUUGGGACACAUACAGCAGCAUACUUCUAGGGACACUUAAGUAAUCCAACAAUUAUAUCCCCAUAAACGAACGAACACAUAAAAAAUAAGAAAAUAUUUUUGGAGUUUUAGAUAGAUAAAAUAAAAAUAAAAGAAAAGAAAAUAAUAAUUAAAAAAAUUAAACAAGAAAAAAAUAAGACUUAGAAAGAGUAAAAAAAAACUUUGAAAAAAUUGGUAACCGAACCCGAACGUUCGGUUGGUUUCGGUUGAGAAAAAUUUGAAAAACCGAACCCGAGCGUUCAGUUGGUUUCGGUUUAAGAAAAUUUUGAAAAACCGAACCCGAGCGUUCGGUUGGUUUCGGUUUAAGAAAAUUUUGAAAAACCGAACCCGAGCGUUCGGUUGGUUUCGGUUUAAGAAAAUUUUGAAAAACCGAACCCGAGCGUUCGGUUGGUUUCGGUUUAAGAAAAUUUUGAAAAACCGAACCCGAACCUUCGGUAGGUUUCGGUUUUGGAAAAUUUUGAGAAACCGAACCCGAACCUUCGGUAGGUUUCGGUUUUGGAAAAUUUUAGAAAACCAAGGAAUUUAGACAUGCAAUCAGAAAAUACUUUUAACAAUAAGAUAAACAACUUUGUACAAGAAAUAUACAACCAAGAAAACUACCUUUGUGGUGAUGAGCGAGUCAGAUUAUUUAACCGAACCUGAACGUUCGGUCAAUUUCGCUUCUUACGUUUGAGGUUGAGAGGUAGUUUGAGGUACUGACUCUGAUUCCAUCAUACCUAGCCCUUGUAAUAUUCUGUUGAAUGAUGCUUCAGGAAGAGCUUUGGUAAAGACGUCAGCCAGUUGAUCAGUGGUUCGAACAAAGUGUACUUCGACGUUUCCAUCUUCCACAUGAUCUUUGAUGAAGUGAUACCUCAGUGCUAUGUGUUUGGUUUUAGAGUGUUGCACUGGGUUAUGACAGAUCCUAAUUGCACUUUCAGAGUCACAAUAUAGUGGGAUCUUCUUCAUAUUGAGUCCAUAGUCUCGAAGUUGACUCUGGAUCCAAAUCACUUGAGAGGUGCAGGAUGCAGCGGCUAUGUAUUCCGCUUCGGCAGUAGACAACGACACGCACGUUUGUUUCUUUGAUUGCCAGCUAACCAACUUCCCGUCAAGGAAUUGACAGCCGCCAGUAGUGCUUUUUCUGUCGAGUCCACAUCCUCCAAGGUCUGCAUCUGAGUAGGCUUGAACGAAGAAGCCUGAGUUGGAAGGAUACCAUAGACCUAAGGAGGCAGUUCCCUUAAGAUAUCGUAGAAUGUUCUUCACUGCAAGCAUGUGAAGCUCGCGUGGGUUUGCCUGAAAUCGAGCACAGUAACACACAGAAAACAUGAUGUCAGGCCUGCUAGCAGUAAGAUACAUUAAUGAGCCUAUCAUUUGACGAUAGAGCGUGAUAUCAACAGCCGGUUUGUCUAUAGAUGGAGUUAGCUUGGUGCCGAAUGCCAUUGGGACUUUGACUUUAGAGUCUCCCAUCAUACCAAACUUUGCUAGGAGAGUCUUCGUGUAAGCUUCCUGAUUGAUAAAGAUGCCUUCGGGUCCCUGUCUAAUAUUUAAACCAAGGAAAAAGUUAAUAGGACCCAUUGAGCUCAUUUCAAAUUUAGUCUCCAUCAGCUUUCUGAAUUCAGCUGUUAGGCUGGGAUUCGUUGAGCCAAAGAUGAUAUCAUCGACAUAAAUUUGAACGAUCAUAAGGUGGUUACCUUCCUUUUUGUGAAAGAAGGUUGGGUCAACCGAACCUUGUUUGAAUUUGGACAUCUUUAAGAAUUUAGUUAGCGUUUCAUACCAGGCUCUCGGAGCUUGUUUGAGUCCAUACACAGCUUUAUCCAGAAUGUAGCAAUGAUUUGGAUAUUUUUCGUUCACGAACCCAGGAGGUUGCUCCACAUACACUGUUUCUUCGAGUUCUCCAUUAAGAAAUGCACACUUGACGUCCAUUUGGAAAACUUCAAAGUUUUUGUGGGCAGCAUAAGCAAGAAAUAUUCUUACAGAUUCCAGCCUAGCUACAGGAGCGAAAGUCUCUUCAUAAUCAAUCCCUUCCUCCUGACAAUAUCCUUUUACUACCAGACGAGCUUUGUUCCUUAUAACAUUCCCUUCCUUGUCCAUUUUGUUCCUAAAGACCCAUUUGAGACCAACAACCGAGGCAUCUGGAGGAGUUGGAAUGAGGCGCCAGACUUUGUUCCUUUCAAAUUCGUUCAGUUCGUCUUGCAUUGCUUGAACCCAAUCGGAGUGAUCGAGAGCAGUGUUAACUGUCUUCGGUUCAACUUUUGAUACGAAUGAGUUAAACAUACAAAACUCAACCUUUGAAAAUAAGGAUGUCUGUUUUGCCUUCAGUUGUGAUCGGGUCAGAACCUUUUCAGAGACAUCACCAACCACUUGAGAGAUAGGAUGAUCUCUGGUCCAUUUGGUAAGAGGAGGAUAAUUUGGAUCAAAGGUUGGGUCUAGUUCAGCAUUGAUCAUUUCUUCUGGCUCGGAUUGGCUUUCGUAGUCGAGUGACAUAUCACCAUGCUCCCCCUCGAUUGAUGAGCUAUGAGAAACUUGAGGUUCAGAGGUUUCUUGUGGUGCUGGACUUUCAGGCGUUGAUGCACCUUCGGUUGGAGAAGCACUUUCGGUUGCAGUUGGACUUUCGGUAGCAGUUGUAGAGCUUGGCUCCCCCUCAACAUGUGAGCUUGGCUCCCCCUCGACUGAAGCAUCGUUGGAUGGAGGUUCAUCAGAAUUCGAUCCUCCUUCAUUCAUUCUCCUGGCAGCUUCUUCGACAAUUUGCUUCAUGUGGUCUACCUUGUUGUCUGCUGCACCUGCUUCUGAGAGAGUAGCUUUCUCUGGUUCGUCAAAUAGCUCCAGAAACUUCUCGUAUAGAUUAGCGAUCGAGACUGUGACUUGGCCAGUUUGAGGAAAGAUUUCCCCUACUGUGUCUUCUUUGGCCUGUAACUUUUUGACAUAGAUAUCGUCGAAAGUUACGUAAUAAGUCUCUUCGAUUUUUCUCGAACGCUUGUUUAGAACUCUGUAUGCCUUGGAAGUGAGAGAGUAGCCCAGAAAGAUUCCCUCGUCGGCUUUGACAUCGAACUUGUUGCGGUGUUCUUUAGAGUUAAAGAUGAAACACCGUGAGCCGAACACGUGGAAAAAUUUCACAUUGGGCUUCCUGUUGUUGAGAAUCUCAUAAGGUGUGAGCGUGAAUCGCUUGUUGAGAUAUGACCUGUUCUGUGUAAAACAAGCAGCAGAAAUAGCAUCAGCCCAAAAAUAAAGAGGUAAGGAAGCGAAACUUAGCAUUGUUCGGGCAGCUUCACACAAAGAUCGGUUUCGUCUUUCGACAAUUCCGUUCUGUUGAGGUGUGUAGGGAGCUGAGAAGUUGUGACUUAUUCCCUUUUCUGCCAGAAAUUCUUCAAAUUCUCUGUUUUUGAAUUCCAGACCAUUGUCGCUCCUGAUGUUGCGAACGACCUUCUUGAGCUGUACUUCAAUCUGCUUGAUGAACACUUUCAGCUUAUGAGUCGCUUCAGAUUUGAGCUUUAGAAAGAACACCCAUGUAAAUCGCGAAAAGUCAUCAACAAUAACAAGAAUAUACUUGCUACCACCGAUGCUUUCGAUAGAUGAUGGACCACACAAAUCAAUAUGAAGUAAUUCGAGUGGUUCAACAACUUUUGUGUUAAUUAUGGAUGGAUGACUUUGACGACUCUGCUUCCCCAUUUCGCAUGCAACACACAAAUGAUCUCUGUCGAACUUGAGCAAUGGAAGACCUCGAACAUGACCUCCAGUGACAAGUUUGUUGAUAUCUUUAAAGUUGAGAUGAGAGAGUCUUCGGUGCCACAACCAGCUUUCGUCAGAUUGUGCUUUUGAUAACAGACAUAUAGCUGGGUUUCCUUUGAUGGGUUUGAGGUUUAGAGGAAACAUUUCACCCUUACGCUCUGAUACCAAUUGAUGAGAUUAAAAACUUAAUCUUCAAGAUCGAUUAGAUCUUAAACAGGUAAAUAAAUAUUAAACAGCAAGAACGAACGCAAAAUAAAGAACAACUCAAGAAUGAAUCAAACGUGUCGAAUGAUUAUAAAAUAACCCUCAGAAGAGCUCGAUCAAGAACAUCAACUGUAGAGGGUUGGAGGUUUACAAGAACGACAAAGAAAUCUGCAAAGCUAUCGUUAUUCUCUAAAGCGUUAACCUAAUAUGCAUGCAAGCAUAUCUUUAUAUAGUAAACCUAGCAAGCUCACGGUUGGACAUGCCCAAACCGAAGCACAAAACAAAUGGACUAACAGCCGAGCCCAAUGACGCAAUACAUAAGCGAAUCUUCAACCCAACAAGUAUGCAUAUAAAAGAAUGUCCAAAUCAAACUUUGUAUGAGGAAGUUAUGAUUUUUGAAAGUUUCGAUGCGAUACAAUACAUCAGUAUGCGACAUAGAAAUUGAAAUAUAAACUUGUUGAUUGUUAGCAAAAUCAAUCUAAAUGAGAGUUGAAUAUCUUGUAAAAAUUAAUAUGUCAAUAUAGAGACUGUCUAGAACGAUGUUCGUAUGAAAGAGUUAUGAUUUUCUCUUGGACUUCAACAGUGUAAGGUCUAUACAAUAUGAAUUUAAAAUGGAGUGAAGAUUAGCUGUUAAGACCUAAAGGAAAGUUGUAUUGCUCGUCGAGAGGAUUUCGGGGAUAUAAAGAACGUCGAAACUAGAGACCGUAUGUGAAUGUUAUGGUUGUUUGAAGAUUUGAAAAAAAUGCUAUUGAGAGUGACGUGGCAAUACUACAGUAUGACAGGUGGCAAAGAGAGAGCUAAACUCUCUAGCCGACAAGACAAUGUGGCAUGAUAAAAGGCAGACAUAUGGCACCGCCAUGUGUUGACACAUGGCAUGGUUAGAGAUGGCGAGCGACAACAUGACAUGGACGAAUUGUAACCUAACACGUGGCACCAUAAGCAUCCGAACACACCAAAUAAAGGCGCAACACGCCUCUAUCUGGUGCAUGGCACUCCUCAUCUGCAGUCUGUAUAUACUCUUUGUUUUCAACGAUUUUCAUCACAUAAUCCAUAUCUCAAAACCUCCCAAUUUCUCUAGAUCCGAUUUUAGGAGCUUUUAUGGGUCGGUAACGGAGCUCUAGAGUGCCAGAGAGCCUGAAAGAAUAGAUGUGUUCGGGUUGAGAUUCUGCCCACAACUUUCUGACUGUUCACUAGAAAUUUUUGUAAGUUAAGUUGCAUUUACUAUGCUUUUAAGUAACUUAUAUUUAUAUUUAUAAUCGUUAUUAUGAAUUUAUAAAUAAGAUUUAUCAGUAAUUUCAAUCAUGAUAUUGAUUGAUCUACUUACAAGAAUGAUAUUUAUGAUAGAUUUAGUGAGGUGUUUAAACUAGGUUUCCCAAAUAGUAUACUUUGUAUAAGAAAUUGACCCUACCUCCAAUAUGAUCUUACAUGGUUGUUCCUUAUUUGAUAAAUCUCAAUGUAUUCAUGGGAUUGUUGAGGAAUCCAGGAAAUAUUAUAAAUACAAACAAAUAAUGAAGCACAAUAAUAUUUGUACUUAGGUUGUUUAAAAAGGGAUAAGCUAAAGCAAUAUCCCAGGUGCUAGCUUGAGGAUCUUCCACCUCAAUCAGGUGAGUUUUCUCAAUAUACUAUACACAACAGUAUAUAGCCUCUGUAUGUUAGGAUGUAGUUGCACUGUUGUACUGUUCGAUCUUACCGGAAUGAAAAAGAAGUCUAGGAGAACUCUUGUGAUGUUAUUGAUUAACAAAAGAGAACAGAAGGUAGCUACAAAUAGUAGAGUUUUAUAGCUGUAAAGUAAACGCUUGAAAUAUGGAAUGACUUAAGUAAAUGCAGAAAAACUGAAAGAGUUUUAGUUACUAAGACCAGUCACGAGAGUUAUUAUUUUCCUAAGAAACUUUGAAUCAAUCUUCAACACUCCCCUUUGAUUCAAAGGUACCAACACUGAUCUUUGCCUGAAGAUAUUCAAAAUAGACUGCUGGAAGAGAUUUGGUAAACAAGUAUGCUUAUUCUUUAGUUCUCCAAAACUUCAACUUGAUGCUUUCAUUUGCUACUAGCUUUCUUAUGAAAUGAUGCUUAAUUUCUAUGUGCUUGGUAUGUCCAUGCAUGACAUCAUUUUAUGUCAUUGCAAUCGCAGAUUGAUUAUCAUGGUAGAUCAUGGUUGCUUCAAUUUGCUCUUGCAUGAUAUCAUUCAUAAGUUUUCUAAACCAGAUUGCUUGACAUGUUGUGAUUGAGGCUGCCACAUAUUCAGCCUCUACUGUAGAUAAUGCCUUCUAGCUUCUUUGGUAACCAUGAGAUCAUUCCAAUUCCCACAAUGAAGCAGUUUCCAGUUGUGGUCCUUCUAUUUUCUUGUUACCCUGCCCAGUCACUGUCUAUAAAUCCUUCCAACAACAGUUUCAUUUAAUUCAUAUUUUAUAUUCCAUAAUGCUUGGUGCAUGAAACAUAACGAAUGAUCCUUUUUACUGCUCUAAAAUGGUGUUUGGUAGGUGACUGCAUGAACUUUGAGACCACACCAACAGCAUAGCUUAUGUCUGGUCUUGUAUGUGUACGAUAUAUUAGUCUACCAACUAUGCUCCUGUACAUCUAGGGUUAUCCCAUUCAUGUACCGUCAUAACUUACAAUCUUUUCAUUUGUACUCAUAGGUUUUGCAAUGGGUUCUUCAUUCACUACAUGGAGAUCCUUUAACAACUCUAUGGCAUAUCUCUCUUGUGCAAUAAAAAUACCCUUGCUGGUUUGUUUUACUUCAAUACCAAGAAUAUAAUGUAACCUUCCGAUAUCAUUCAUCUCAAAGCUUCUCAUCAUUUCCUCUUUGAACUGUUGUAUGAGUUUCAUUGAGUGCCCUGUGUAUAUCAUGUCAUCUACAUAGAGACUAAUCAACAUGAAAUUUUCUAUGCCUUGAUUCUUGUAGUACAUAGUGGGAACAUUAGGACUUUUCGUGAAGCCAUUUUCCAAGAAGAAACUGUCAAUUUCGCUAUACCAUGAGCGUGGGACCUGGUUGAGCCCAUACAAAGCCUUUCGUAACUUGUAUGCCUUCUCCUCUUGUCCAGUUACUAUGAAUCCUUCUAGUUGUUGAACAAAGACUUCCUAUUUAAGAUCUCCAUUCAAGAAAGCCAACUUAACAUCAAAUUGAUAGAAUUCUCACUCUCUUUGUGCUCAUAAUGCGAUGAUCAAUCGUAUGGUUUCUAUCCUUUCCACCGGUAAGAACCUCUCAUCAUAAUCCACACCUUGUUCUUGCAUAAAACCUCGAGUGACUAGUUUGGCUUUGUGUUUUUUUACACUCCCAGUAGCUUUGAACUUAGUUUUGAAUACCCAUUUUAGUGAUACAGGGUGCUUAUCAGAUAGUAGUUCCACGAGUUCCCAAGUAUUGUUCUUUUUAACAGCAGCAAUCUCUUCCUCCAAUAUUGCUCUUCUCCAUAUAUCAUCUUGAAGAGAAACAUUCGUUUAUAUAGAAUCACUCUCAAAUAGUGUCAGCGUGCUUUCAUAUAUAUAUGCUAAUGCUGGAGUUUUAAGUGGUGUUGUUGUUGGUGAUAUGCUGCUAGGAGACGCCGUGUUUGAUCUUGGAGGAGUAACUUGUGAAGAUACUCCAUGCGAGGAACUUGAACUCGAGGAUGAGAUAUUUGAUUAAUUGAUUUGAGUAAUCGGUGCUUGAUCAUGAACUUUUUCUUCCUCAAGUAACUCAGUUUGAAUUAAUGUACUGAAUUGCUCUUGUGUGGUGUCAUAAAUCACAUAUUCUUCGAAGAAUACAUCCCUACUAACAAUAAUUUUCUUGUCUAUAGGAUCAAAGAGUCUAUAGGUGUCACACCCUCGAACCAGAAUGGUGGAAACGUCCAGGGGCGGGUGACUUCAUCUUGCAAUAUCAUCACAGUGUAUAUAGUUGAAUCACAGACAACAUCAUCAUCACACAUGAAAUAUAAAAACCAUCAUAGUUUACAUAAGUGUGUUGGUUUACAAAUUACAUUCCAAAUAUUUAAUGUAUGAUGAUAACAAACAUACAACAAAAUCCACGUGUUCUUGAUGACCAGCCUGCUUAACGAUUCCCAGAGAAUACAAGUUAUUUUGAAAAUGUCAACAUAUAUACUGUUGGUGAGUUCAUAAGCAUGUUUGUAUGAAAAACUUUUGUAUCAUUUUGUAAACACCAGAAUAUCUGAUAUUUUCUGUUGAAAAUGGUUAGAGGGUUUUGUUUCAAAUCUAAUAUUAAAGCAUGUGUGUUCUUGUUUUUGACAUUAUAUAAAAUCAGUGUUUCAGAAAAUCCAAUAUUUUCUGCUUGUAAAAGAGUUGUGGUCUUAGUACCCUAAGACCCGAGUAGUGUAAUAAUAAAUGUAUAAUCCGUACAAUGUAUCAUGAGUAUAAUAUAUGCAUUCCGUAAAAAUUUACAUUGUUUGUUAAUCUUUAUGUGAAUCGUUAUAACCAUGUUUGAUAUGACUGGUCUGCCUGUCAUGAAGUUCUUUAGGCGUCGCUUGUUUAAGGUAAGACAUUUUUCACCCUUGACUGGCCUAGUCUAGCUAUAGCGAACAGCUCAUGUGUGGGGUUUUCAACCCCGUAUAGAUUUAUACACAAACUCUCGCUCUCCUCCGGGAGACUUUGGUUAUAACUACAGGACUUAGGGUUGUACACUAGGUAGGUACGGUUGAAAACGCGUCUCACAAGAGCCUUAACCAAAUUUACACGAACAGUGUAUCACAUUAUUUACCUCUUUAAAAUAAUGUUUCGAGUAGGUGUUUGAUUACAAAACAAUGGUGAUAAAAUAUCAUUUGUUUUUAUCAAAAUGUCAAGUAUUUAUUGUUAUUAACCCGAUUAGUAUAAAAUGUGUCGUAAGGCCCAAUAAGCAUGUAAAUAGGUGUUUAAGGCCCAAUAACCAUGAAAUGAAUGUACAAGACCCAAUAAGCAUGUAAAUAGAUGUUUAAAGCCUAAUAAACAUGAAACGAAUAUACAAGGCCAAAUAAGCAUGUAAAUAGAUGUUUAAGGCCCAAUAAACAUGAAAUGAAUGUACAAGGCCUAAAAACAAGUAAUGAGUAUAACAAGCCCAAUAAGCAUGUUAUGGGUGGGUCAAGCCGAAUUCAAGUAAAAUGUCAUAAGGAGCCCAUUUAUUAUGAAAAUGAUUGUUUUAGUCCGAUUUGUGCUAAAAAUGACAUAAACGGCCCAUUUUUCAUAGAAAUAAUAUUUUUGGCCCAAGUAAUCAAGAUUUCUCAAUAAAGGCCUGCAUUUGUCAAAAUCUAAUUAUUUGGCCCACAAAAACCAAAAAUUUACAAUAAAGGCCCAUUUUCAUUUUAAAUGACAUUUUAAGCCCAAUAAAACCGAAAGUUUGCAAAUAAGUCCCAUUAUGAUGAAAAUGACAUUUUAAGUCCAUUAAGGCCAAAAAAUUACAUUUUAAGCCCAUGAAACCGUGAAUUUCCAAAUAAGCCCCUUUUAUGAGAAAUGACCAUUUUAGCCCAUUAAAAUCGUGAAGGCCCAAAAGAAGCCUAUUUUUGUCAAAAAUAACACUUUUGACCCCUACAAAACCGUGAAUGUCAUAAAAACCCAUUUUUAUCAAAAUGACUCUUUUGGUCCUCUUAAAAUCGUGAGUUAUCAUUAAGGGCUCACUUGUUGUUUAUUUGUCAAAAAUGGCCCUUUUGUAUUAUUUCUUUGUUUUUCUAGUAACUUUUGCAUGUUAAGACUUUUCAACAUUUUGUAAAGUCACUUCAAAUAUCUUUUUUUACUAACAUUAUGAUGAUUUGGUAGGUAUUUCGAGUUUUAUGAAAGUUUAACAAGCUUUCAUAGCAUAUUCACAGCAUAUAAUAUAAAUAUACACACAUACAUGCAUAAACACUUAGAUCUAACACAAAACCAACUUGUAUUCUCCCCCAAAACAUAGUAAAACCUAAAACAAGGGGUUAUGAAGCUCACCUUGGAUGAUGGAUCAGUUUUUGAUGAAGAAAUGAAUGAGAAUGAAGGUGUUUUCGGCCUUGGAGUGUUCCUUUGGGAAGAGUUUCGAACUUAGGAAGUUCUAGGAAGCUUAAACACGAAAUAAAGGUAGUUAUGAGAGUAAAUCCUUAACACAAAAUGGAAUAAUUCAAGUUGAGUUUUUAGCACCUGGUUCUUGGUACAUAUUCUUUCUUAAUAUUUUUGUAUUUUGGCCUUGGACUCGGCGAGUUGAAGGACCAACUCGCCAAGUAGAAGCGGGAUGAGACGCGGGGUUUAAGCUGUCGACUCGAUGAGUCAGGUCCUGAACUCGGCGAAUAGGCCCUGUCUGAACAAAAACCUUAACCAGAGGGUUUGCACCCUAAUUAAACACCUUAAGUCGGCCUCCUUCAUCCCAUUUGCUCCCAGAAGACCCCCAUAGCAAACCCUAGCCGUUAUUGAAGCAAUCUAAGGCAUUUGGAGUGAUUUUGGUGUUUUGUGAUCCAAGGAAGGAAGGAAAAGCUUGAAGGAUCAAGAGGAGGCUAGAGGGAUCCGAAUUUGAGCAUCAUUUGCAAUCUACAGAAGGUAUAAAGUCUAUACCUUGUUUGUUCUUUUGAUAGAUCCCAUUUUGUGGAGUUUUAGGGCUUUUCUAAGCCAUUUUGGUCACCAACCAGGAUUGCAAGCAUGGUUUGGGGUUGAUGUUUCAGAUCUAGGUCCUUAGAGGGGUUACAAGUCAGAAAGGAGUGGCUUGUGCACUCAAAGGAGACCCCAUGCAUUGUAAGAGCUUGUUUUAGGACCUUUUAAGCUCAAAGUCCCAUCCAAGCACGUAAAGGUUGUCAGUUUACGUGCUAGAUCGAUUGUAGAAGCAUAGAUCCAUCUUUUGAUCAAGGGUUGUACAUCAAAAAUCGAAGUUUUAGUGAGGGGAUGUGACCGAAUCAACGAGUCCAUUCUUGGACUCGACGAGUCCAAGGUUUCUGCCCCAUAUCAGUUGAGGGUCAAAAGGACCCAGUUGAGUGUGGAAAGGUUUUAAGGAGUCCUGGGGAGUGACCCAACGUUCCGGAUUAAGCCAUUGUCCUGGAAAUUCAUGGGACUCGCCGAGUCCAAGGCAAUCUUCUUAUGGAUGAAGAUGAACUCGACGAGUUGUUCAUAUAACUCGGCGAGUCAAGGACAGCACAUGUGUAUCAGUUGGAAAUGAACUCGACGAGUUGUUCAUACAACUCGACUAGUCGGAUGAAGAUUCAGUCGAUGUUCAAGUAGAAGGAAAACUCGUCGAGUCAUCGCCUAACUCGACGAGUAGAGACUGGUAUAGGGUCAAAUGGAAGGAUAGGGACUCGACGAGUUGGCGAACCAACUCGACGAGUCAGGUCAACUAGAAGUUGAAUUUGACUUGGACUUGGACUUGGUCAGGGGUAAAAUGGUCAUUUUACCCUAAGUAUAGUUAGCAGUGUAUGACUAAGUGUUUUGUGGGAAUUAUAGCCGGAGGAUUUCCAGAGCAGCAGCGGCAGCAGUCAGAGGAUUCCCGCACAGAUCAGCAGCUACUUCGUGGUGAGUUGCCUUCCAGUAGCGGUGGGUCUAAGGCCACAAUGUCGGCCCACCAGUAGGAGACGUAUGUUAGAUGAUGUUCUUUGUGAUAUCAUCUGGGUUUGCUAUUAUCUGUUAUGAUAUGAGCCAGUACGAUAUGUUAUAUGCUAGUAGCGGUAGGGGAGAUAGUCCCCGAGAUCAUCGAUCGACAGGGCCGAAGGGGUAGUCAUGCCCAGUUAUGUUAGAUCGAAUGUGAUUAUGUGAUACAUAUUAUGUGGUAGUAGUAGAGGGGUGAAAUAGUCCCCAAUAUUCGGUUGAAAGGACCGAAGGGGAGUCUAGCACCCAGAUAUGCUAGGCAGUAUCUGGUCGAAAGGACCGAAGGGGAGGCCAGCACCCAGAUAUGCUAGGCAGUAUCCGGUCGAAAGGACCGAAGGGGUAGGUCGGGCACCCAGAUAUGCCUGACAGUAUUUGUAUGUUAUGUAGAUUUAUGGUAUGUGGUACGAUGGAGUAACUCACUAAGCUUCGUUCUUACAGUUUAUAGUUUUGCUUUCAAGUACCUCUUCAUCGAAGGGGAAGGAGCUGGCGCGGUAGCUGCACAUCCUACACGCACAUUGUUUUCCGCACCAUGAUUUAUUCUGGGAUUUUGUACUCUGGCACUAUGGUUGUUUUAUGUUUUGGUUUUCAGACACGAAAUAUGUUUAUGAAAUGAUAUGAUCAAACGAUGUUUAUUCACAAAUGCUUUCCAAAGUAUUGAUUUAAAAAUUAAAUUUUUGGACAUGAAAAUUGGGUCGUUACACGUUUAUAUGAUCUUACCACAAGUGUGAUUCUUAAAGUGAUCUUCUUAAACACACACACACUCAUGAAUUUUGAAGAGGUAAAAGUGAGAGAGUUCUUGAGAGUUUAGAGAGAAUUUAGAAAUGAAAUGAAGUUGGAAAUGGAGGGUAGAUGGGCCGAGAAUAAGAAGAGGAUGGAGGAGGUGGUGUGGUUUUUGCAUGGUGGUCAUAAGUUGGUGCAUGGAGGCAUGUUAGAUAAUGACAUUGUUAUUUGGUGAUUAUUAGUGAGUUGUCACCUUAGUAAUCACCAUCUUUUUUUAUUUUUACUAAACCCACGGAUUGGAGAUGGGAGGAAAAGAAAAGAAGUAUUGGGCUUGGAUUGGGUAUUUAUUAACCGAUAAUACUUCGGCCCAAUCAAUAUUUUUCGGCCCAUUGGGCCCACAUAUGUGUUCAUGGCCCAAAAUGAUAAAAGGAAUGGGUUUUCAACCCAAUGAGGCCCAUGAUGAGUCUUAUGGCCCAAAAUGCUAUUGCUUAUUGAAUGUGGGUCCAACUAGGGCCUAAAUGAGGUUUCUUAGCCCAAAAGAAUCAAGUUGAGGGUUUAUUGGUCCAUUAGGCCCAAUAAGAGGAUCCCUGUCCAAUAAGAGUUUAAACAGGGAAGUUAGGGUUACAACCCAAAAUCGAGUGAAUGUAGUACAUUAAAUAAGGUUUGGAGCUUCACGCAUGAGUUUUGAUUUGAAUAGUUGUUUUUGAAUGAAAAAUAUGUAUAACAUCUUACUUAAGGUUACAAGAUACACCGAAAGUUAGUUACACCUGAACAAAAUUUCCUAGCCCUAAAAUGCUAGUUGUGACAAUAGGCCUUUGAUUGUGUAUAGUAUCCCACAAAAACAUCUUUCUUGGACUUGUCUUCUAGCUUAUGUGUGUAAGUUGUGAGUAAUGCAUAACAUGCAUAGCCAAUAACACAUAAAUGGGCAACUGUAGGCUUGAAUUCAUACCAUGAUUCGAAUGGUGUUCUGUUCCAUACGAAUUUUAUAGGAGAGAUGUUGAUUAGGUAUACAUCGGUAGCAAUAACUUCAGCCCAAUAAACAUCAGGUAGCUUGCUUGUGUUCAACAUUGAUCAACCCAUCUCCUCAAUGGUUUGAUUCUUUCUCUCUAUAAUCCCAUUUUGCUUUAGGGUAUGUGGAGCUAUCAUAUCUCUUCUUAUCCCUUCUUUUUCACAUAGGGUGAUGAAUUCCGAUUACAUGAAUUCUCCCCCUCUAUCAGUCCUUAGAGUCUUUAUUGUAGUAUUUCCUUGUUUUUCAACACGAGCUUUGAAUAUCUUAAAGUGUUCUAAGGCAUCAUAUUUUGUUCUAAUGAAAUAUACCCAAUAGAUACAGAUAAACUCAUCAAUGAAUAGCAAGAAAUACUUAUUGCCUGGGUGAGAUUCGUUCUUCAUUGAACCGCAAAUGUAACCACACACUAAUUCCAGUUUCUUUGUUGUUCGUCUUGCCUUACCCUUUGGAAAAGACCUUUAUGAUUGCUUUCCUAGAACACAUCCUUCACAUACAUGUUUUGAAUCAUGUAUGGCAAUUAAUACAUUUACCAUUUGCUUAUUUUAUAGCAAAUUUAAUCCUUUUUCAUGUAGGUGCCCGUAUCUGCAAUGCCAAAGUUUCAAUUCAUCAACCCUACUGUUCAACAUCAUGUAACCAGCUUUGUGAGAAAAUUCUACAGGAAACAUUUGUUUCCUAUUAUCCUUGAAUAAAGAACAAUUUCACCAUUUUUCUUCUUCACCAUACAUGUGUUAUCAUCAAACUCAACCUUGAGACCAUUUCCAAUCAACUGUCCCACACUUAUCAGGUUAUCAGCGAGUCCUGAAGCAAAGUGUACAUCAUUGAAAAAAAUUUCUUUUCAUUGUAUGCUUAUAAUGAUAGUUCAUGUUCCUUCUAUGGUUACAACUUUAUCAUCACGUAGUUUGAAACAUGAUUUUUCCAAUUCAUCCAUAUUCUUGAAAUUUUCACGUGCACAUGUUAUAUGGUUUGAACAGGCGCUGCGUAAGUACCAUAUAUCCUUCUUUGGGCUAGCUUGGUUUGCAUAGGUCAUGAAUAGACAAUCAUCUUAUUCAAAAUAUUCUUCUUUUAUAUAUAUUUUUUUGACCUUGCUUUGCCUAACAGUCUUCUUCCUUAUGACCAAGAUUUCCAUAUUAGUCACAUUGAACCACUGCUCCCCGUGAUCUGCCUCGUUUACGGCCUCAAAAUGAUGAUGCUCUUGCUCUUCGUCUACUACCAUAAAACCUUUUUUGCUCCCCUUGGAUUUGAAAGGCUUGUUCUUCUUCUUGCGUCUGAUUCUUGUUGAUUCUUACCCCAUGCGCUUGUAGUGACCCUAUUAACUUAUCAAUGGUACAAAUCUUCAAGUCCUUUGAUUCUUGGAUUAUUGCCACCACGCGAUUGAACUUGACUAGUAAACUCCUCAGAACUUUGGCCACCACAAUUUCAUCAGAAAUCUUGUCUUCGUUGGCACGCAUCGGUGUCACUAUGGUUGUUGUUUUUGCUAGAUAUUCUUGUACUAUAUCAUUUGCCUCAUGUUUAAAGUCUUAAAUUGUCUUCUCAAGGAUUGCAGUUUGACUGUGAUAACUUUGGUUGAUCCUUAGUAUUCAGUCUUGAGGAUAUCCCAUGCUUCCUUUGAUGUGACUGUUGCAGUAAUUCUAGGGAAGAUGGUCUCAUCUAUUGCAUGUUGAAUAACGAAAAAAGCUUAAUCAUCUUUCUUCUAAUUGUAUUUUUGACGGGCUUCAUAUGUACUUGCCUCUGCAUAACUUGCUUCAAAAAAUUCCCAUAAGUCUUGUGACUUGGAAAGGGUCUUCAUUUUGGUGCUCCAGAAUUCAUAGGACUCCCCUUUGAAGACAUGAAUUUGUGGUUGUCACAUGCUAAUAGUGUUGCUGCUAACUUGUGCCAUUUGAGAGUCACCGCUUGAGACUUGGAUAAGUGACCAAGCUCUGAUAUGAAAAUAUUGGAGCUUAAUAGAAUGAAAAAGAAAUGUAGGAGAACUCUAAUGAUGUUAUUGAUAAAUAGAAGAGAAUAGAAGGCAACUAUAAAUAGUAAAGUUUUACAACUAAAAAGUAAAAGUUGGAAAUAUGGAAGGACUUAAGUAAAUGCAGAAAAUUUGAAAGAAUUUUAGUAGUUACAAAGACCAGUUAGGAGAGUUAAUAUUUUCUUGAGAAACUUUGAAUCAAUCUUCAACAUGUACGCUAUUAGACAAUUAGACUAGUUUAGUUAGUUUUCUGUUGUGUUGGAUGGUUUAUUUGCUUGUCUACUAUAUAUGUUGAUAUAUUAUGUAGGGAGGUGAGGGCAGACUAUCUUUAUGUUGAAGGCCAAGGGGUGGACCAACUUUAUGUUUAAGGCCAAAAGGGAGGACUAGCUUUAUGUUGAAGGCCAAGGGGUGGACCAACUUUAUGUUCAAGGCCCUUAUAUGUAUGCGUUGUAUAUGUACUGUGGUACAUGGUAGUUUGGAGAACUCACUAAGUUUCGUACAUACCUAGUUCAUUAUAAAUAUUUUCAGGUGCUUCUUCGGAUCGUGAGAAGGAAAAGGUUUCAUUUUACACAAGCAUCGACAUCAUGUCUUUCGUAUAAAUUAAUUAUACACUGAUUUAAUUGGAUAAAUAAAAAUGAAAAUUUUGCUAUGAAAAUGAAGACGUUACAAGUGAUUUGGGUGUUUUUCCGCCGUAAGUCGUAGGCAAUGUAUAUUGCACCAUGGCGUGGAGUAUCGGCACCAUGCCAUGGUGGACAUAGUAGGUUGUUAUGGAGGAACGGUGGCCAUGACGUUGAAUGGAGUCGGCCGCGGAGUCUUUUAAGCAAUCACGACAUGGUGAAGCCUUCACCACGGCGUGGUUCCGAGUUUGAGCUUGUUAUGCAAGAUUAGUCUUGGUUAACUUGUUACUAAUGUUUGAUUAUGAGUUCGGAAGCUUAAUUCAUGGUUUUUAUGGAACUUUAUCAAUUAAAAUCCAUGUUUUGAUUCUAGGAUUUGAAACCCUAUAAAUGGAAAAUGAUGAAAUGGUAUUUUUGUGAUAGGAUCUAGUUAGGUUAGGUGUGUAAAAUCAUAGGUGGAGUAUUUUAUCAAGUACUUGUACAAAGGAUUGUCAAGUUUGAGUUUUACCCAAAUUAUGAGUUUUUGGCUAAAAUCUCCAUUGAUGUCUUAAUGGAUUAAGACAUAUAUAAAGGGGAUUUAUGUGUGUGAAUGUCAUAGGUUGUGGCAAAGAAGGAACUGGAGCCCUUGAAGAGAAGCUUUGGAGAAGUUGGAAGUAGGUUGUUAUUCCACUACAAGAUGUGAGUUAUACUGCCUUUUUAGAGUUUGAUAAUGUGAUGUAGAUUCAUGUCAAAGCAUAUGGAGAUGUGUAUGUAAAUGUAGAUUACAUCAUUUGUAGCUUGUGAUAUGUUGGAUUCAGUAUGUUAUGUUUUCAUAAUGUUAAGAGAACAAGUAUGUAAUGAGUAAGAAGAAGGGACCCUAAGAUAGAGAGUGCUAGAGUCUUGCAUGGAAACAUUGAAAGAUUAUGUAGACCGGUUAGUUGUCUACAUGUAUAUGUAUAAAUGCCUGGUCAUUCAUGUGGCUAGCUAGCUAUCAGAACUAUAUGAAUUUAUGUACGAUUAUAUUGUAUGUUGUAUUAUAUUAUAACUCACCAUACUUAUUGUCUGGUAGAUAUUAUUUCCAUGUGUUUACAGAUUUGGGUAGCAAGCCACAAAGUGUGUGGGCUUAGAAGCAUCAAUGAUAUGAGUUGGAAACACUCAUUAAUGUUUUCUAGGAAUACUUUUAAAUGUAGUGUAUGUGUUACGAGGAAUUUUAUGAAGUUAUCCUCCUUCUUGUAUUAUCUAAUUCCUGUUUCUUACAGUUUUAUUUAUAUAAAUUCUCAUUUUUUUUAAAUGAAUUUAAAGAAUUACAUGCAAUUUGGGAAAUAUAAUAUGAAUUAAAGACAAAAUGUGUCAAAUACAUAGUUGUAUGUAUCAAGCACAAUUUAUAUCAUACAUGCUAGCGUGGGUCAAGUACGAUAUGGAUUAAUUGCACAUAUUUGUACGUCUCAUAAUACAUGAUUCGUACUUACAUGCAUGAGACAGUUUGUCUUAUAUAGUGAUAUGUACUCGUAUGUAUCAAGCGUAACGGACACAAGCAUAAACUUUGUUAUAUUAUAGGGGAUGCUUGGUAAUUCUCAAAAGUAUAGAUACUUAAAAUCAUGGUCAAUUUUAAUAGCUAGAUGAAACAUAUCAUCAAGCCGUAGCCCACAUGUGUGCCUCUUGAUUGACUCACCACUCACCAUCAUCUAUUUUUGUUAAUAUAUAUACAUUUUACUUCAUCAAUUUGUUCAAAAUUCUUUUCUCUAUUAGAUCUAUACAACAAUGAUAAAGUUACACUAGGAUUAAUGGGUUCUAUGUAAAACUGUCAAUAUAACGGUUAAUUUUAAACCGUUAUUAAUAUCAAUAUUAGCAUAUAUAUCACCCCUAUGGGGAGCAUGGCAAGACCAAUGUCCGUAGCAAUGUUUUAAAAACCGUUUUUUAGUUGAACCGGUAUGCUUAUUGGUUUCCGGUUCAACCAAUUUAAUUGGUUCAACCGCUGAGUAACUAGUUUCUAUAAUUUUUAUAUUUUUUUCGUAUUUUCAUACACAUACAUGCAUAUACAAAUCAAGAAUUUGAUGUCCACGAGUUCAAACAUUAAAAUACACAUGAAAACAAGUUAUAGAUCAGUCUAAAUACGUUAAAAUAACUCAAAACAAUAAAUUUUACAUCAAUCCACGUGCAUUAAAAAUGAAAUAAAGUCCUAUAUAAAUAUAAACGCAUCCAAAAGUUUAAUAACAUUUAUCAUGUGUUUUUAUUCAGAAAUUUUUUAAUAAAUAUGAAAAAACUAUCAAAGUUUAUUAUGCAAAAGGUUUCAAUUCCAUGUGUUUUUAUUAAAUUUAACCGGUUCAAUCAGUUUAUUUGAACCGGUUCAACCGGAUUUUCAUAUAAACCAACCGGUUCGAUCUGGUUCAGAAAUAGACAUAAAACCGAUGAUAAUUGAACCACUCUCUUUUCCGAUUCCCGGUCCAACCGGUUCGACCGGCCAGUUCAAACCGGUUUUUAAAAAAUUGGUCCGUUGAGUCACCAUCAACUUAGAAAAGAAUUAAUCAACAAUGAAGAAAUAAUUCAACUCUUAAAGUCAAAUGAUACCUUCAUUCGUGAACUUUCAAAUUAAAUUGUAAGGGUUGUUUGUUUGCUAGGUUAUUGGCGGAACCAAUACUUUAUGGCUGGCGAAUUGGCAUUUUUAGUAAACUAUACAUUUCGGGAAACAAAUGAGGAAAUAGACAAGUUUAAUUUACAUCAAUAUGAUGCCCGUGACUCUAUUAUUUAAUCAAGAUUCGUUAUCCUUUUUGAUUCCACUGAUCAACUUCUUCGGAUCAGAGAUGGGCGGCCUUCAUGCAAUUCUACUCUUGAUUUGCAUCACUCAUCUCUUUGCUAUUAAUGGCGAAGCUGUUACUCCUAGAGAAACACUUGAGAUAAUCAUAGGUGCUGGUGGUGCUGCGUCUCCAUGGCCACGGCCGGAAUAUCAAGAAUGUCCUCCUCCACCUCCACCUCCCCCUCCAUGUCCACCAACACCACCUCCACCAUCACCAAUUCCACAACCAUCGCCAACAUCAACACAUCCACCAUCACCAAAACCACCACAUGGGCCAUCACCAGCAGGUGCUUUCGAGAGCGUGCUACUACGACGAUACUAUGACGUAAUCCAAGCCUUCAAAAGGAAAGUAACAAUUGAUCCCACAGGCAUUACGAAAACAUGGGAGGGAAACAAUAUUUGCGGUGAUUACAAAGGGUUCAUUUGCGACAUCGUACCAGAUGUUAACCUAAAGACCAUCUCCGGUGUCAACUUCAAUAACAGGAAUUUGUAUGGACCAAAUCUAACCCUCACUGAAUUCCUAAGCGGUUUGAAAGAUCUCGCAUUUUUCCAUGCAAAUUCCAAUAACUUCAUCGGCUCCAUCCCCGAAGAUAUCGGCACACUCCGCUACUUAUACGAACUUGACCUCAGUAACAACAAAUUAUCCGGCAACUUCCCCUACCAAGUCCUCCA